GUGCCUCCUUUCACUUUACCGAUUGGACUUAGAUCUUUAUUGGUCAUUCAAUGGGAAAGGAAAUGUUUUAAAACUUAGGCUAACUGGUGUUUAUCUUGUAUCUGUCAUAGGAAAUAAAU
ensembl:snoRNA